rnacentral:rRNA from 1 species
CCUACGGGAGGCAGCAGUAGGGAAUCUUCCACAAUGGGCGAAAGCCUGAUGGAGCAACGCCGCGUGGGUGAAGAAGGUCUUCGGAUCGUAAAACCCUGUUGUUAGAGAAGAAAGUGCGUGAGAGUAACUGUUCACGUUUCGACGGUAUCUAACCAGAAAGCCACGGCUAACGACGUGACAGCAGCCGCGGUAAUACGUAGGUGGCAAGCGUUAUCCGGAUUUAUUGGGCGUAAAGGGAACGCAGGCGGUCUUUUAAGUCUGAUGUGAAAGCCUUCGGCUUAACCGGAGUAGUGCAUUGGAAACUGGGAGACUUGAGUGCAGAAGAGGAGAGUGGAACUCCAUGUGUAGCGGUGAAAUGCGUAGAUAUAUGGAAGAACACCAGUGGCGAAAGCGGCUCUCUGGUCUGUAACUGACGCUGAGGUUCGAAAGCGUGGGUAGCAAACAGGAUUAGAUACCCGGGUAGUC